rnacentral:rRNA from 1 species
AUUAAGUCGGACAGGAUUGUUGCUCUUGAGGAAGCCUUUGAGAACAGGCCAAGUGAAGCAAACACUUUGGGACAGGAGCCCAGAAUCAAGCUCACCAGGAUCGACGCGCUUGAAGACCAGGUAAAAACACUGACGGAUAAGUUUGCACAAUUCAGCGGCGGAACGAAUGCAAGAGAUACCCAGACUGGCCUUCUCCUGCUUCCAAGGCUGAUCCACGCUGCACACACGAAUAGCACAGAGGCCGUCCGGGUGCUGCUUGAAGAGGGGACCCGCACCGGCCAGCGCGACGAACAGGGGAUGACGGGCCUCAUGCACGCGGCCCGGCAGGGACACCUCGGCCCUGUCAAGCUGCUUGCCGAGAAGGAGAAGGGCCUCCAGGACAGGAACGGCUGGACCGCGCUCAUGCAUGCCGCACAGAAGGGGAGCCUUGAGGUGGUAAAGAUCCUCCUCGAGCACGAGAAGGGAGUGGAAGACGACCAGAAUCACAACGCCCUAUACUAUGCCCUCAAGAAUGGGCAUCCAGAGGCAGCUAAGGUCAUCAUCCCCCACGAGGACCCAACAGACGAGGAUGGCGUCACGGCACUCAUGAGGGCUGCCGCCAAAGGAGAUGCUGGAAUGGUGGAGCUGCUUGCACCAGUCCAGAAGGGGCUGAAGGACAAGAACGGGAACACAGCCUUCAUGCAUGCUCUCAGGAACAAGCACAGAGACACUGCCGUGGUUCUCGGUAGACACGAAGCCCCCUCGUGGACUCCUCUCAUGUGUGCGUCCUUCACUGGGGACAUCGAGACCGUGAGAAGGCACCUUUCCGAGAGAGAUAGGAAGAACAGCGACGGCGAGACUGCGCUGAUGCUCGCUGCAAGAGAGGGAUACAAGGAGAUUAUAGAGCUUCUGGAUCCCACUGACGAGGAUGGCGUCACGGCACUCAUGAGAGCGGCGGGGAGAGGAGACACCAAAACGGUUGAGCUGCUUAUACUUGCCCAGAGAGGAAUGAAGGACAAGGAUGGGGACACAGCAUUCGUGUACGCCCUCAAGAACAAGCACAUAGACACUGCCAUGCUCCUUCAGAGGUACGAGACACAUUCAUGGACCCCACUUAUGUGUGCAGCCCUCGCUGGGGACAUCGAGGUAGUCAACAAACACCUCUUAGAUAAAGACAAAAGGAAUAGCGAGGGGGACACGGCGCUGAUCAUAGCCGCGAGGGCAGGACACGAGGACAUCGUGGAGCUCCUCGAUCCCACAAAUGAGGACGGCGUCACAGCACUCAUGAGAGCUGCUGAUAGAAACGACCUGGCAACUGCGAGGGCGCUUGCUCCCCUUCAGGCAGGAAGACGAAUGUCUGGAGACGUCACAAUAAACGGAUGGACCAUAUAUAGUGGGACAGCACUGAUGAGAGCAGCAGUGCGUGGCCAUUCAGACUGUGUUAAGCUACUCCUGGAGAAGGAGGGGGGCAUGCAGAAUGGCUAUGGAUGGACGGCCCUCAUGUGGGCAACACAGAGUAGCCACUUAGACUGCAUCAGACUAUUAUUAGAAAAGGAGAGGGAUAUCAACAGGAUUCAGCUCUUAAACAUAGCCAGAAGGAAUGGCAACAGAGAGAUCAUAGCCAUCCUCUAGAAGUAAUCAGAGUAAACAUCGACCACCUCUACCUCAGACUCCCGCACACACCGUGACCUCCACCGCUGGCGUCCGUGUGCCGACCACCGCAGCAGGUCUCCGGGGUCAGCAGCCUCUAGCGCGGGAGCGAACGCGGCUCAGGGAAGUCGGCAAGCCGGCUCCGUAACCUCGGGAUAAGGAGUGGCUCUGACGGCGCGCCGGGUCAGAACUGGAACGGACGCGGGGAUCCCGACUGUUUACUAGAAACACAGCGUCGCGAGGGCCGCACCCGGCGCUGGCGCGACGCGAUUUCUGCCCAGUGCCACGACCGUCACCGUGAAGCGAUCCGCCGAAGCCCUGGUAAACGGCGGGAGUAACUAUGACUCUCUUAAGGUAGCCAAAUGCCUCGUCGGGCAAUUUCCGACGUGCAUGAAUGGACCAACGAGGAUCCCACUGUCCCGAGCCGCGCCUCCGCGAGCCUCCAGCCUCGGGAACGGGCGAGGGCCGGCCAGCGGGGCAAGAAGACCCUUUUGAGCUUGACUCCAGCCCGGGCCGCGGGGCGGGGCGGCCGGCGCAGCGCACAGGGGAGGCCGCGCCCCUGAGACACCCUGACGGCCGCCGCCGCCCCGCUCACCCGGUCGCGCGGGGACGCGCCCGGGCGGGGAGUUUGGCUGGGGCGGCGCGCCUGCUACACCGGACCGCAGGCGUCCCACGGCGGGCUCAGCGAGGACGGAGACCUCCCGCGGAGCAGAAGGGCACAAGCCCGCCCGACCCGCGCCCCCCGUGCCGGCGCGGGCCGCGAAAGCGGGGCCUACCGAUCCUUCGCCGCCCCGGCCGCGGGCGCGGAGGUGCCAGAAAAGUUACCACAGGGAUAACUGGCUUGUGGCCGCCGAGCGCCCGCAGCGACGCGGCUUUUUGAUCCUUCGAUGUCGGCUCUUCCUACCGUCCGCGCGCACCGGCGCGGAAGCGUCGGAUUGUUCACCCGUUCAAGGGAUCGUGAGCUGGGUUUAGACCGUCGUGAGACAGGUUAGUUUUACCCUACUGGCCCCGGGGCCAGAGCACGGCGGGCCAGUACGAGAGGAACGCCCGCCGCGGGCCGCCAGCCCCGCGGUUGCCCGGCCGGGCAGCGCCG